CCUACGGGAGGCAGCAGUGGGGAAUAUUGGGCAAUGGGCGCAAGCCUGACCCAGCAACGCCGCGUGAAGGAAGAAGGCUUUCGGGUUGUAAACUUCUUUUCUUGGGGACGAACAACUGACGGUACCCCAGGAACAAGCCACGGCUAACUACGUGCCAGCAGCCGCGGUAAUACGUAGGUGGCAAGCGUUAUCCGGAUUUAUUGGGUUUAAAGGGUGUGGAGGCGGGAAUGUAAGUCAGGGGUGAAAAGUCAGGGCUCAACCCGGGGCCGGCAUUUGAAACUGUGGUUCUUGAGUGCAGGAGAGGCAGGCGGAAUGCCGGGUGUAGCGGUGAAAUGCGUAGAUAU
rnacentral:rRNA from 1 species